GACGAACGCUGGCGGCGUGCUUAACACAUGCAAGUCGAACGGAAAGGCCCUGCUUUUGUGGGGUGCUCGAGUGGCGAACGGGUGAGUAACACGUGAGUAACCUGCCCUUUACUUUGGGAUAACUUCAGGAAACUGGGGCUAAUACCGGAUAGGAGCUCCUGCUGCAUGGUGGGGGUUGGAAAGUUUCGGCGGUUGGGGAUGGACUCGCGGCUUAUCAGCUUGUUGGGGGGGUAGUGGCUUACCAAGGCUUUGACGGGUAGCCGGCCUGAGAGGGUGACCGGCCACAUUGGGACUGAGAUACGGACCAGACUCCUACGGGAGGCAGCAGUGGGGAAUAUUGCACAAUGGGCGGAAGCCUGAUGCAGCAACGCCGCGUGCGGGAUGACGGCCUUCGGGUUGUAAACCGCUUUCGCCUGUGACGAAGCGUGAGUGACGGUAAUGGGUAAAGAAGCACCGGCUAACUACGUG
rnacentral:rRNA from 1 species